rnacentral:rRNA from 1 species
GACGAACGCUGGCGGCGUGCUUAACACAUGCGAGUCGAACGGAAAGGCCCUGCUUUUGUGGGGUGCUCGAGUGGCGAACGGGUGAGUAACACGUGAGUAACCUGCCCUUGACUUUGGGAUAACUUCAGGAAACUGGGGCUAAUACCGGAUAGGAGCUCCUGCUGCAUGGUGGGGGUUGGAAAGUUUCGGCGGUUGGGGAUGGACUCGCGGCUUAUCAGCUUGUUGGUGGGGUAGUGGCUUACCAAGGCUUUGACGGGUAGCCGGCCUGAGAGGGUGACCGGCCACAUUGGGACUGAGAUACGGCCCAGACUCCUACGGUAGGCAGCAGUGGGGAAUAUUGCACAAUGGGCGGACGCCUGAUGCAGCAACGCCGCGUGCGGGAUGACGGCCUUCGGGUUGUAAACCGCUUUCGCCUGUGACGAAGCGUGAGUGACGGUAAUGGGUAAAGAAGCACCGGCUAACUACGUG